rnacentral:snoRNA from 1 species
AAGGACGGAAACAGUGUCUUCUGCUUGAUCCAGAAAGACGUUCCUCAUAAAAGUCCGUAGAAAAUUAAAAUCUUCCACAAGAAGGAGCGGCGUUCUCUCCUGAGUGUGAAGCCAGCUCUUGGUGUUGCUUCACUGCAACUGCCAUUUGCCAUUCAUGGUCUUGGGAAUAAGAGAGAGAGGACAGAGUCUGAGUGAU